AGAGUUUGAUCCUGGCUCAGGACGAACGCUGGCGGCGUGCCUAACACAUGCAAGUCGAACGGAGAAUUUCAAAGUGUUUACAUGGCGAAAUUCUUAGUGGCGGACGGGUGAGUAACGCGUGGGUAACCUACCCAUAAAGCCGGGACAACCCUUGGAAACGAGGGCUAAUACCGGAUAAUCUUAAGUUUUGGCAUCAAGAUUUAAGGAAAGAUGGCCUCUGAAUAUGCUAUCGAUUAUGGAUGGACCCGCGUCUGAUUAGCUAGUUGGUGGGGUAAAGGCCUACCAAGGCGACGAUCAGUAGCCGGCCUGAGAGGGUGAACGGCCACACUGGGACUGAGACACGGCCCAGACUCCUACGGGAGGCAGCAGUGGGGAAUCUUCCGCAAUGGACGAAAGUCUGACGGAGCAACGCCGCGUGUAUGAUGAAGGUCUUCGGA
rnacentral:rRNA from 1 species